CUUGACAGCGAAAACAGCUGUUUCACCGAACGACACGUAAUACACACAGACACACGCACACCUCUCUUGUAAAUAGCCGUGUCGCCGAGCGACACAUGAUACACAUGAACACAUAUACACUUUACCUGUAAAUAGCUGUACAUAUCAAAGAUUUUUAAAUAUAUUAUCUUAUUUUAUUUCGUAUAUCGAGUCUAUUGUCUCAGGGACCCUUCCUACACCCGAUCCCGGCGAGCUAGUCCGCGUAGGAAAUACGGUCCGUUACAACUGUUUGGAGAAAACGCAGACACAGUUGACCACAGUUGCUUGGAUCGUAACGUUGAUAAGGCGUGUGGUUGUACUUUAUUCUACUAUUCGCGUUACGUCUAAAUAUCGCGUCAGUUCUUUCGGCAGUCAAAGAUUAUGAAACUGCUAAAGUAUAUAGCACGAUUUCCUCUUUCCGCGUACGCCACCCAGUAUGUGCCCAAUCCUUCAGCAUUAUCUAAAUUUACAAUACCGCUCUCGUUUCGAUAUGUUCCUGUCGUCGGUAAUGUACGCAUGAAAAUUCCUCUAAAGUAUGGAAUGCGCAUAUGUUUCACUAACUGUAAUAAUUGUAUGUCGGUAGUUACACCUUUUGGCAUUUUUAACGUCUUUUCGACGUUUUUUUUUCGUCGAAACUACUCGUCCACGCUUGUAUGGAGCGAGAUAAACUCCAUGACUUUCCAUGGCGCGUUUAUGACGUUUCAAUUCUUCCAGCUGACGCUGCGCUGCCUUGUUAUCAUUCACAACCUUUGCAACUCCCGCCGCUCCGCCAACCAAUGACCCGAGAACUUCCAAUAACGGUACAACACCACCGCGUUUCGCUACCGGAAGUAUUCGUUUACUUACUUUUUUUAUCACUUUUUUUCUUUUUCAAACCCUUAUCAACUUUCGUCUUGGUUUUCAUAGCCCAAUGGCAGCUCUUUCUCCGAAAGUUGAAUCGUUUGCUGUAAUUCGUUUUCGCGCUUCUGCAGCGAGUAUGUUGUCAGCCGCGUGUCUGAGUUCGUUGCUUCGAGAGCACGCAAUGUCGUGUUCGCGAUACGCCGCGUCCAACGGAUUAAUACUCCGAUCACCUCUAACCAAUCACUUUUUCAGCCAAGUACCCGGACCACAAAAUUGAUAUCCUGGUAUAUGCUGUGACGUGACGCGUCCGGUCGCGCUCGUCAUAAAGGCGUAAGUCCGACCGAGGGGGUCGGUUUGGGGCUAAAUUUAUUAUAUUCUUUUUAUUAAUUUAAUUAAAUUUUUUUUUUUCACAAUGUUUAAGCAGGGGACAUAAUAGUACCUCGCUUUUCUCAUACUUCGUACGUGACUGAACUGGCACUCUUUGCGCGAAAAAAGCGGCACGAACAGCAACACUGGUCGCAGCCUCCACCGGAGCGGCUUUUUAUACCCUCUCGGGUAGAGGAUCGGGGAUUCUCUUGGAUUUUCGGGUUUCCCCGUACUUGCUCUCCUCCCGUGGAGGUUGGGGAGAGCGCGGGGAGAAACGCGGAGCGGAGACGAUGAUUCGUCUUGACGCUUUUUAUGCGGCGAUUAAGACGGGGCCGGUGCCCGUUUUUGCGGUCCGGCGGGUGUUCGGCCGGACCGCGCGUGGUCGGUGGUGCCGGCGGACGGGAGGUGCGUUACACAGUUAAUAAUUUAAUCGAUUUAAAGGCUAACAUUGCACAAUUUAAUUCAGUAUUCGUUUCAACAUGUCACUGACGUUUACGCUAACCGGCAAGAAUAGCAUCCUCGCGGUAAGCUAUUUUCUAGCCGUAGAUUUGAACGAUGGCGAUUACGAGUUUGGUCUCACAGAUUUUGAAACAUACUGUACCAUACCUAAUGUAAAUUCGACAAAUAACAAAUUUUACUACGACAAAGACGACAAGGAAAUUGUUAUUCCCGAAGGCUCGUAUGAAUUGCGUGAUAUAGAUAGAUAUUUGAAACGCAUAAUUUUACAAUCGCAUUCCGAUGUUGCGGGAAAGAGGUCGUUUCACAAAGAAGAUGAAGAGAGCGAGUAUUCGCUGGUGAUUUGCGCCAACAAUAAUACAAUGAAGAGCGAAAUUAUGUGUGCUUAUCGAACGGAUAAAUUUUACUAAAUUUAACAACAUUGGAUCGCUGUUGGGACUUUCGUCGCAUCAUAUUCUUCAAUCACGACUGUAGCAUGAAUCAGAUGUACCUAUAAAUAUUAUAAACGUAAACAUUAUUCGCAUAGAAUGUAACUGCAUGUGUGACUGCAGGUGUGACUGCAGGUGCAUACAACAACGACAAAUGUGUACACACGAGUUAUCACCGAGUGUACCACCAGGUUAUAAGAUACCGGAAACGCUUGCACAGAUCAUUUAUCUUCCAAUCGUCGCACGGAGCAUUACUGAUUUGACGAUUCGCAUUGUGGAUUAGGACGAUUACUUGAUUUUUGCGGAGAGGAAUUACACAUACAAAGACGAUAACGUGAGAUGCUCGUGUUGAAUGAUCAGAUGCAAGACACAACUUUUACACCAAUCAAGAAUAUUCGAUCGUCUAACACAAUUUUUACAUCAGUUAAAAAUAUUUAAUCGUCUGAUAAAAACAAACUCACUGCAUCAAGCGUUGAAUUUUUUAAAUCAUUAGGAUUUGCCGUACGAAAUAUCUAAGAUGGCUAACAUCUUAAACAUUGGAGGCGAGCCAAUCUUUGACGAUAGCAUCAUCAAGAUUGUGACUCACAUGUACAAUCCGUACGCCAACACUACGUUUGGAUACAGGGCUGAAAUAAAGAUACCCAUACAACAGCAGGAUUUAUACACAUUGCCAUGUGAAAGUUUUCUCUAUGUCGAAGGAAGAUUGGUGAUGAAGAAGAAAGAUGAUAAAGACAAGGAUGAGACAAAUCUUGGAAAUAAUUGCGUGGCAUAAUUGAAUACUGUCCGUUGUCCAACGUAGUGCGCAAAAUCAUGUAACAUCAAACAGAUAAAAACUGAGAUAUUUGACGUUAAAGUACAGUCUUGAAAAGUUACUCGUCAUGAUCAUACCGAUUUGUGGAUCUGCAAGGAUUCGUUAUCGCUAAUAAAUUUGUCGUAAAGGAAGUAGCGGUACUGAGAAAAGAAGCCGUUCUCACGCAUUACAUUUUUGCGAGCCCCAUGUCAUGGCAUGUUCUUACAAAAUCCGACAAGUCUUGCGCUUCUUGGUUAAUUGCCUAUCAUCAUAAAUUGCGAUGGAAGGACGGGGUGAUCCCGUACAGCAUGGCGAACGUCUGAUUACAUCUGCUGUGUGUAAUACGGGAGAGGAUAACGACAAUGCUAUCGUAUACGUUAAGGGACAGAAACGAGAAUGGUUGGCGGACAUGCUUGAUACCGAUGAUGGGAUAUAUAUCAAGACAUUAGAUGCCGAUUACGAAGACAUUGAAUCUUUGAAAAAUCUGGAUGUUAGUAAUACUAUACAAUGUGAAAAACAUGUUAAGAAUUGCGCUUUACAAAAUGUAUUUAAAAUAUUUAACUGGUGGUCGUAACACCAAAAUAAUUGCAAAAUUUUUUUAAAUAAAAAUAUAUAAACGCAUUAAAAUUUUUUUAUUUCUACCCUUUCCCUAUAGAUGUUUAAUAAUGGUUCGAUAGCGAUUUGAUAGCAGUUUGGUAGCUGUAUGAUGCAGAUUGAUAACGGUUCGAUAGCUGUACGAUGCGGUUCGAUAACUGUAUGAUGCAAUUUGAUAUCGAUUUGAUAGCUAUAUGAUGCAGUUCGAUAGUGGUUCAAUAGUGGUUCAAUAGUGGAUCGAUAACUGUAUAAUACGGUUUGAUAACGGUUGAAUAAUAGUUCGAUAGCAGUUCUUUACUUUGACAGAGACGUUGACCGAGGCAUUGACCGAGACAUCAUAUAAGACGAUCUCGUUGAUAAAUCGCGUAUGUUUCGUUAGACAAUGGCAGAUUAAAAAUUCUACGAAGCUGGCGUGGCUGAGAACAUAUUUUUUUCAAAUUUAUUUCUCAAGUGAUAGUUCAAUUGUGGUUUGAUAGAUGUGUUCGACUGCUGUACGAUGCGAUUUGAUAACGGUUCAAUAGUUCGAUAUAUGAUGCGGUUCGAUAGCUGUAUGAUCUUGUUCUAUAGACCUAAUGCGGUUUGAUAACGGUUCAAUUGUAGUUCAAUUGUGGGUUCAACAGAUAUACAAUGCGAUUCGAUGGUGGUUUGACAGCUGUAUAAUGCAAUUUGAUGUAUAUGAAGUGAUUUGAUAUGAUAUUUAAUAUGCUUUACUUUGACAGAGACGUUGACCGAGACGUUGACCGAGGUGUUGACCAUUAUAUCAAACGAACACUAUAUCAAACGAUCUUGUUGAUAAAUCUCAUACGUUUUAGUUCUUGUUAGACAAUGGUAAGCGCAGAAAAAAAAUUCUACAAAGUUGAUAUUGCUGAGAAUCUUUUUCAAAUUUAUUUCUCAAAUGAAAGUCACGUACAUCUUUAGUAUAUAAUGAUGGGGUCUGCUCUUCAACGUUAGUCAAGCUCCUCAACGUCAAUUCGCAGUGUCUCGCGCCAUCGACUGCUAGUGUUUAGAAUUGAUACGAUUGAACAAACAUACGAUUGAACAACGAUGUACAGAAUUCGAAUUGAAUAUCCGAUUGUGGGGGUAAGUACAUGGAAAAAAAUUACUUCCAAAUUAACGCGAUUAUUGGUUCAUAUAAGCAAUAUAAUCUUCUUAGAAGAAAAUCUUGAAUUUUAAAAUAUUAUAGUUUUGUUUCAAUACUUUUAUUAUUACAUUUUUAUUAUACUGUAAGUGUUAUCUUAAGAAUAUAAUUGUUUUAAUAAUUUUAUUCUAAGAAAAAUUAUAAUCUUUGAUUUAAAUAUGUAGUAUUUUCUAUCCAGUUUUGUACGUUAUGAGUGAAUAUUCGCGUGAUUAUUUAUUAUCAGUUUUUAAAUUUUUUCAGUACGUGGGCGACAUCCCUCAUUGAUCGACAACGGCCAUUUACGGCCGUACAUACGUAAGGGUGCCGUCCAGCCACACCUCAAUUAUAAGGCUGAAUGAAAUGCUGUCAAUACGUGGGCCCACUGGUCAACAGCCGUAUUUUGGAUUUGAAGAAAUUAGAAUCCCAGGAUUUAUUAAUAUAGCUGCAGCUUGGUGGAGACGAUACUUCUGCCAAACCGACCAAUGGAGGAACGAGCAAAACAUCGAAUACGCAUACGGGGAAUACGGUCUCGAUGCCGACGUAUGGGACCUGAGAAGACUAUUCGGCAUGAAACCGUUGUUCGAUAAGGAUCGGGAGUAAUCCCAAGUACUUUAUUUUAUUAAAAUUUAUUAUUUUAAAUAUUAUUAUUUUAUACUUCUUUAUUAUUACAUUUUAUUAUUACUUUUUAUUAUUAUACUUUUUAUAUAUACUUUUUUAUACUUUAUACUUUAUAUAUAAUUAAAAUUAUACUUUAUAUAUAAAUAAUGUUUUACUUUCUUUUACUUUUCUUACUAUUAAAUCAUUACUUGAAAUUAUUUUCCCUCAGGAUUGUUUCUUUAGAAUAUCAUAAUCCCUCUCCCCCCUCUCCAUUACUCUCAGUUCUACUAAUAUUUUUUCUUAUAUGCUAACCAUUUUAGUUUACAAACUUUAUAUUUUAAUGUAUUAUUAACUUCUUUAAAUGAUUUAUUUUCUUUGACAAUUGGAUAGUAAUGACAAUAAUCAAUAUAAAUGAGCUUUAACAAAAUGAAGCAAAUUUAUAAAUAAUUCUAACUCAGUUUUUCUUCCCCUAUUUCUUUGCGGUAUAAUGGCAUGUGCAGAACUGAGUAGAAGGUAUGCAGUAAGAGGUGUGCAGAACUGAGGUACAUAGAUAAGAUAGGCAGGAGCGCACGUAUGUGAAUGGGAGACUGUGUAUGAAAGAGCUCAACGAAUAAAAGAGAAAGAGCGAGAGAAUGAUAAGACUGUACGGUUAAAGAUAUAACGUACGGGCGAGAGAGAGAGAGAAAUUAUAGAGGGAAAACGCAAGUACCGCGGUGGCGUCGGCGACGGUGGUCGCGGACCCUGAAACGUGACUGGGAAACGCGAUCCCCUUUCAAACAGUUCGAACUCAUUUCGGCGCGGCGCGAGAUCUCCCCCCCCCCUCGAUCCGCGUGACGUUAUACCCCUGCAUUUCGCGAUCGGUCGACCGAAUUCGGUAAGAUUAAUUUUAUUUUACAAUUAAACAUUUCAAAAAUAAAUAUAAUCUGAAAAUGAGAAUGAUGUGUCGCAAGAUAUACACUACUAAAAAAAAAAAAAA